rnacentral:rRNA from 1 species
GACGAACGCUGGCGGCGUGCUUAACACAUGCAAGUCGAACGGAAAGGCCCUGCUUUUGUGGGGUGCUCGAGUGGCGAACGGGUGAGUAACACGUGAGUAACCUGCCCUUGACUUUGGGAUAACUUCAGGAAACUGGGGCUAAUACCGGAUAGGAGCUCCUGCUGCAUGGUGGGGGUUGGAAAGUCUCGGCGGUUGGGGAUGGACUCGCGGCUUAUCAGCUUGUUGGUGGGGUAGUGGCUUACCAAGGCUUUGACGGGUAGCCGGCCUGAGAGGGUGACCGGACACAUUGGGACUGAGAUACGGCCCAGACUCCUACGGGAGGCAGCAGUGGGGAAUAUUGCACAAUGGGCGGAAGCCUGAUGCAGCAACGCCGCGUGCGGGAUGACGGCCUUCGGGUUGUAAACCGCUUUCGCCUGUGACGAAGCGUGAGUGACGGUAAUGGGUAAAGAAGCACCGGCUAACUACGUG